rnacentral:rRNA from 1 species
UACAGAGGGUGCGAGCGUUAAUCGGAAUUACUGGGCGUAAAGCGCGCGUAGGCGGCUUUGCAAGUCGGGUGUGAAAUCCCCAGGCUUAACCUGGGAACUGCAUUCGAGACUGCAUUGCUAGAGUAUGGGAGAGGGAAGUGGAAUUUCCGGUGUAGCGGUGAAAUGCGUAGAUAUCGUAAGGAAGACCAGUGGCGAAGGCGGGUCUCUGGACAGUUCCUGACACUGAGGCACGAAGGCCAGGGGAGCAAACGGG